GAAUGCAUUCUUCUCUUUAUCUUACAGUGUCUUUUCUAUUGAGGCAAUGAUGAAACAUCUUUUCAACUUCUCUCUCCUAUUUUCCUUUUGCAACAGUGCAUGGCAGUUGGGGCAGUCCAUUUCUUCAUAGACAACUGCUGCAGUCACUUAUUGAGAUGAUUGCAGCAAAAGGAUGUGAGGAUCCAUGCAGAUGCUUGUUUAGUCUGGGAGAUCAUAGCAGGGC
rnacentral:lncRNA from 1 species